GGUGCAAUGGUAUAUAUUUAUAGAGUAUAAUAUGGGCCUCAACCUCAACUAUUCAAGGUUAGGAGAGGCCGACCUAUACAGAUAUACACGUGCAAAAUACAUAUUCAACAAAGAAUAAUUGAAACUGGACCAAUCCAAGUAUGGAUAUUUUUAUUUUAAAGGACUGGAAACAAGGAAGUAGAAUUAUAUUUCAUAUAAAAAAGAGAAAGAUAUGAACACAGCCGGAGCCAAGAGACGGGGAAAUUUGUUGCAUGCUCCGCCGUCAGAGUCUAUAUCCUCGCAUCCACCCCCCUCGCCGACGCUGGAGCGCGCCGCCCGACGUAGGCGACGACGGGGCGCUCUCCUCCCUUCCCGCGGGGCUGACUCGCACGGGGCAGCAGCCUCGUGCGGAGGCACCGCUUUAUUCAGGGUAUGGCAGCGUAAGGCCGACAGUGGCUUUGGUGGCGACUAUAGCUGGCAGUAUUGGAGUGAGAGGUUGUUGGGGUGUGUUCCGGGCGGGUGGCACGCUCACGAGGCAGCCAUGAUCUAGCUGUCAUCCAGAUCUGGCGUCUGUCCGAUCUGGCCUCUGAGCGGCAGGGACUGCGACGACAAAGGCCGGUGGUGGCUACCCUGCCUCUCGGCGGUGGUGGCGUGUCAGGUGCUUCGGCCUGUGCCAGUGGCAGUCGGUUGGUGUUCAGGCAGCAAGGACCAGUUGGUGCUCAAGCGAGUGCCCGUCCGGUGGUGGGCUGGGCCGAGGAGGAGCUCCCAUUGGC
rnacentral:lncRNA from 1 species